GAUGAACGCUAGCGGCAGGCCUAACACAUGCAAAUCGAGGGGUAACAUAGAAAAGCUUGCUUUUCUGAUGACGACCGGCGCACGGGUGCGUAACGCGUAUACAACCUACCUUUUAGCGGGGAAUAGCCCAGGGAAACUUGGAUUAAUGCCCCAUAGUAUAUAGACUUCUCCUGAAGUUUAUAUUAAACAUUUAUGGCUAUUAGAUGGGUAUGCGUCCUAUUAGUUAGUUGGUAAGGUAACGGCUUACCAAGGCAGCGAUAGGUAGGGGUCCUGAGAGGGAGAUCCCCACACUGGUACUGAGACACGGACCAGACUCCUACGGGAGGCAGCAGUGAGGAAUAUUGGACAAUGGGCGAGAGCCUGAUCCAGCCAUGCCGCGUGCAGGAAGACUGCCCUAUGGGUUGUAAACUGCUUUUACAGAGGAAGAACCACCCCCACGUGUGGGGGUUUGACGGUACUCUGCGAAUAAGGAUCGGCUAACUCCGUG
rnacentral:rRNA from 1 species